rnacentral:misc_RNA from 1 species
GGAAGGAUCAUUACCGAAGCUAGCGCUGACAGCGCAACGCUAAACACAUUGCCGCCGCUCGGGUAUCGAAAGCGUCGGGCGCUUAUCGCACGGGGUGAAACUCGAUAGAUAAGCGGUCGAUGCGGCGAUGGCUGUUCCUGUUGCUCGGAACAUCCGUCGUUAACUGGUGUACGCGUUCGGGUGCCUAUAGCCGUAGGCUUAAAGAAUCGUCGCUCUCUGCGAUCGCCCGGAUGUCUUUUAGCGACGUAAGCGAUAUUUGCUGGGUACCUUUUUCGACGGUGACGACGUUGCCGCCGAUUGGAGCACUGACCUAAGCCAGGUUUGAAGAAUCGACCGAGUUCGAUCGCCCAAGCUUACGCCGCAACCCGUUUAUCAACACUGUUUACUUCGAUUGUUAGCUAUUACGUUUCUCGGUCGAUGCCUGGCCGGAAGCGUUUGUGAAAUGACUUUGAUAACUCUAAGCGGUGGAUCACUCGGCUCGUGUGUCGAUGAAGAGCGCAGCAGCUGCGUGAAUUAAUGUGAAUUGCAGGACACAUUGAACAUCGAUAUCUUGAACGCAUAUUGCGGCCUCGGGCAUUCCCGAGGCCACGCCUGUCUCAGGGUCGGUUAAAAGUCAAUCGCGAUCCAACACCUUCGCAGACUGCGUUGGAAACGGAUAGCGCAAUGGGCGUCAAAGUAGCAAAGAACGUCGAUCAGUCGUCGUCGAUUGGUUGCCGUCUUUCGUCUUCGUCGCCUCAAGAUUAGACCCGUUCGUUGCUCGUCGUCGACUUAGCCUCGUUGACGCCCGGACGACAACUCUACUCUAUGCCGUUGAGGAGCAGUAAAGUCGUUCUGGCGCGGCGUCGCUAAAGUCGAAUCAGCGCAGCGCAAAACACAACUUCGACUAUUCGACCUGAGAUCAGACGAGAUUACCCGCUGAAUUUAAGCAUAUUAAUAAGCGGAGGAAAAGAAACUAACAAGGAUUCCCUUAGUAACGGCGAGUGAAGCGGGAAAAGCCCAGCACCGAAUCCGCCGCCGUUUUCGGUGGCCGGAACUGUGGUGUUAAGGACAGCCUAUGGGGAUCGGCCGGGAGUCUGAGUCCUCCUGAUCGGGGCUUCACCCAGAGCGGGUGUCAGGCCUCUACGACGCCUGGUCGGUUCUCUAAGGUCGUCCUACGAGUCGGGUUGUUUGAGAUUGCAGCCCAAAGCGGGUGGUAAACUCCAUCUAAGGCUAAAUACAGACACGAGUCCGAUAGCGCACAAGUACCGUGAGGGAAAGUUGAAAAGAACUUUGAAGAGAGAGUUCAACAGUACGUGAAACCGUCUAGAGGCAAACGGAGAGGACCGCAAAGUCCGCGCGUCGGAUUCAACUCGCAGGUCGUUGGGCGGCGUCGUCGUCGACAUGUCUCGUGGCAGUCGCGGCGGCGUCGUACCCUUCGGCGGCGGGCGCACUUUCGGCGUGCGGAGCGCCACGACCGGUUCGCUGGCGGUCAGAAGCAUUCGGAGAAGGUGGCCCUCGCUUCGGCGGCGGUGUUAUAGAUCCGGAUAGCGUUGGCCCGUCGGCGGACCGAGGAAGACAUUAUUGCGCGGUUGGCUUCGGGCCUUGUCUCUGUUCGAUCGACCGACUUGGGGGGACUGUCGCCAGUGUCCUCAGACCGCGGUCGUUCAGCAGGCGGGUGUCUCGAAGUCGUACCUGGCGUCGGUGGCGAAUCGGUCGGUCACCUGUCCGACCCGUCUUGAAACACGGACCAAGGAGUCUAACAUGUGCGCGAGUCAUUGGGCACGUACGAAACCCAGAGGCGUAAUGAAAGUAAAGGCCCACCUCUCGGUAGGCCCAGGUAGGAUCCGAGCGUCGGCAACGGCGCGCGGCGCACUACCGGCCCGUCUUAACCGCAGCGUCGGUGAGGCGGCGCUAGAGCGUACACGUUGGGACCCGAAAGAUGGUGAACUAUGCCCGAGUAGGACGAAGCCAGAGGAAACUCUGGUGGAGGUCCGCAGCGAUUCUGACGUGCAAAUCGAUCGUCAAACUCGGGUAUAGGGGCGAAAGACUAAUCGAACCAUCUAGUAGCUGGUUCCUGU